GACGAACGCUGGCGGCGUGCUUAACACAUGCAAGUCGAACGGAAAGGCCCUGCUUUUUUGGUGUGCUCGAGUGGCGAACGGGUGAGUAACACGUGAGUAACCUGCCCUUGACUUUGGGAUAACUUCAGGAAACUGGGGCUAAUACCGGAUAGGAUCUCCUGCUGCAUGGUGGGGGUUGGAAAGUUUCGGCGUUUGGGGAUGGACUCGCGGCUUAUCAGCUUGUUGGUGGGGUAGUGGCUUACCAAGGCUGUGACUGGUAGCCGGCCUGAGAGGGUGACCGGCCACAUUGGGACUGAGAUACGGCCCAGACUCCUACGGGAGGCAGCAGUGGCGAAUAUUGCACAAUGGGCGGAAGCCUGAUGCAGCAACGCCGCGUGCGGGAUGACGGCCUUCGGGUUGUAAACCGCUUCCGCCUGUGACGAAGCGUGAGUGACGGUAAUGGGUAAAGAAGCACCGGCUAACUACGUG
rnacentral:rRNA from 1 species